rnacentral:misc_RNA from 1 species
ACAGAGGUGGUGAAUGAUCGAAUUGUUGAGGAUGAGAAGGGGCAGGAGGGCGGUAGGGUCCUCAGAGUUGGUCUAAUAUGUGGAGGACCCUCAGCAGAGCGUGGGAUUUCUCUAAACUCUGCUAGAUCAGUUCUUGAUCACAUUCAGGGAGAAGAUUUGCACGUAAGCUGCUACUACAUAGACUAUGAACUCAAUGCCUAUGCUAUAUCCUCCGCUCAGGUAUACUCAAAUACUCCAGCAGAUUUUGAUUUUAAACUUGAAAGCCUUGCCCAAGGUUUUUCAUCUCUGUCUGAAUUUGCAGAACAUCUUGCUGCCUCUGUGGACAUAGUAUUCCCUGUAAUUCAUGGUCGAUUUGGUGAAGAUGGUGAGAUCG